UACAGAGGGGGCAAGCGUUGUUCGGAAUUACUGGGCGUAAAGGGCGCGUAGGCGGCCUUCUAAGUCGAACGUGAAAUCCCCGGGCUCAACCCGGGAACUGCGUCCGAUACUGGAAGGCUUGAAUCCGGGAGAGGGAUGCGGAAUUCCAGGUGUAGCGGUGAAAUGCGUAGAUAUCAGGAGGAACACCGAUUGCGAAGGCAGCUCGCUGGAACGUUACUGACGCUGAGACGCGAAAGCGUGGGGAGCAAACAGG
rnacentral:rRNA from 1 species